ACCGUUAGCCUGGAGCUGCCAGAGGCCAUCUUGCCACUGCAGAGAAAGAACCUGGUUGAGAAGGAAGGCCACAAGAAGACAGCAAGAGAUGGAGACACAGAGACAGAUGUCUGGUGACUUUGAGCACCUGGAUCCAGCCGGCUGAUCUCUGCAGACUGCCCCACGUCGGUUCCCUCUCCCUCCAGAUUCUGGUGUGGUUCAGGAGGUUGGAGGGAGGAAGAGAGGAAGCAGCUACAUGUACUGAGCACUCGCUGUGUGCUGCUCAUGGAACUCAGAACUUCGCAUGUUAUCACAUGGAAUCCCCACAGUGAUUUUUAUCAGGGAUAUCUGGAACUCUGGUAGCCAUUUUGUGGCCAUGAGGGCGCAAGCCUGAGAUGGAAGUCCACUCACGGGAGAUGGCAGAGCAGGAAGAGAGAUCUGACUCCCUGACAAUGUCAUCGAGCCAUGCAGAAUUAAACCAACCCUGGAGCUACCUCACCUCUGGACAUCUUGUUAUGUGGGGUAAUAAAACUGGCUCAUUGUUUAAACCACUUCUGUUUGGGGUUUCCGUUACUUGUGGCCAAAGCAUUCUAAUUGCUACAGGACUUAACAUUUCAGCCUCAUCAUCGGCCAGUUCCUAACUCUCA